rnacentral:lncRNA from 1 species
AUGACAUGCACUCUACUUACUGUGCCUGUUUUACAGAUGGGGGAAGUGAAGAUUAGGGAAGUUAAAUGGCUGGCUGAAGAUCACAUAGCUAGUAAUUAUGGAGCUGGGACUGAACCCAGGCCUAACUCAUUUGAGAGCAUAACAAAUACCUAAGAUAAACAGCUUCUAACUUGCCCAGAUGACCAUGGGAAAUGAGGAAAAAUUGGAAACUAAGGAUAACUAUGUUGUUCCUGGUCUGAGUGACGUGGGGAAUGAAGAUCUGAUUAUCAAGGUCCUGGGUUUAUCCUAAGGCUGUUUCACACCAAAGCUCUACAGGAAGGACACCAAGUAGCAAAAAAAUGCAUGUCAAAUGGGAGAAACAAAGUAGUUUUCCUUGGCUCUGUGUUAUGAGCUGGAUCUAAAUACUCCAGAAUCAAGGAAGCUAUAAUGCCUGCUCUUCUUCUAAAGCUCAAAGCCGAAUUUCAGAACUCACCUAAGAAUGAAACACAAAGCCUCUCAUGCCCACAUCAGACAUGAAGAGAGAUUGUGUCCUUCAAAGGGAUGAGCACUGUCUUUUACAAGCUGUUCUCUGAGUUUUAUUAAAUAUCAACAGAAGUUCAACAAUGUGAGAGAGACUUCAAACAUAAUCACUGCUGUUAGAAUAAGAGGAACAACCAGGAGCAAGACAACGUUACCCAUGCCAAGUCCUCAAUAAUCCUGAUGCAGAGCAGUCUGCAUGAAAAUUAGGACAAUUAUCUACUGUAAAUUAAUGUACUUUAAUAUUCAACCUCUAAUACACACAUAUUGCUUUGUUUUCACAGGAUUAAAUGAAUUGAAGGGAUUAUAAAUCCAUAUGCAGUGAUAAAUUUCUAGUAUUGAUUAAGCACUCAUCAGACAGGCCUCCUGCUAAGUGCUGUGCUUAUAUGAGUAAACAAGACAAAGUCCAGUCCUCAGAAAACCUGACAUUUACUACGUGUUAACAAAC